UACAGAGAUGUGAUUCACUAUCAAGGUCACUGGAGUUAUGAGUAUCGCUUGGGCAGCUGCCAACAGCCCAUGAGCAGAGUUAAUGUUAGUUCUCCCUCAUCAGGGCUCAAUGGAUUUUAAUCAACACAUUAUGCCAGUUGUUAAUUGCCUGAGAACCAUCUGUUUAUAACCACACAGAACAGAUUACUGCUUACCCACAGUGUAAGCUGACAUGGUGUACAGUUUGCUAAUUUGCACCACGAGCACUUCCUUCAAGAGGGGUGAAAACGUCAAGUAAACUAAAACUUCCAAAGAAACUCCAACUUAAGUGAACAAAAUAUUUUUUGUGUCUUUUGAUGUAAUGACACUGUUUUAUACAGAACAGAACAGAAAGUCUAGAUGAAUCAAGAACAAGACUAAUGUGACCAAAUACUAUGAAGUGAAAAAAAAAAAAAAAGUUUAUAAUUGGUAUAAUUGGUGGCAACAUCGUUUCCUUUGUUUCCCAGGAAACAAAGCUCGUCUCAUGUUCAAACGACCUUUGAACCAUAUUCCCGGCCCAGUUGAAAACAGUCUGAGUAUAGUCUAGUUAGGACAAUAGCCAUUAAAAACCUACUUUCAGAAAACCUUCGCACACAUGGCCAUCAAUUUACGGUAAUCAGCGGCACUGUCUAAGACUAAACAGAAGAACAGAGACUUAUAUUCAGCCUCAAACAAAUGCUCUAUCUCUGGGGAGUGGAGGGACCAGGCAGGGGUGGAUGGUCAGCCCAACAGGCUAUCUGGAUGUGGCACAGUAAUUAGCGCUCUUUAGGGGUGUGAUUUUGGAGUCAACAUCGGGCGUUCUGUCUGAUCCCAAUCAACUCUCCUUUUAUUUGCUAGCUGGUGAAGAAGCGGUCGGGGGCGACGUGCUACCCCUGCCUCAUGCCCAAAUCUCUAUCCGCACCCAUGGUGCCAGCUGAGUACAGCGGCAAAUCAACACAGGCUAAUGUUCAGCUUUUGAGGUCUGUGUGCCAGUGGUCUAUUGGGACAAAGGUCCACGAGGAGUCGAUUCAUUUAGCCUAUGUAUCAGCCAUCCAGAACAGCAAACAUUUCAUCUACAUAGAGAUAAACUAUAUGUGACCUUGGACCACAAAACCAAGUCGCUGGGGUAUAUUUGUAGCAAUACCCAAAAAUACAUUGUGUGAAUCAAAAUUAUUGAUUUUUCUUUUAUGCCAAAAAUCAUUAGGAUAUUAAGUAAAGACCAUGUUCCAUGAAGAUAUUUUGUAAAUUUCCUACUGUAAAUAUAUUAAAACUUAAUUUUUUAUUGGUAAUAUGCAUUGCUAAGAACUUCAUUUGGACAACUUUAAAGGCGAUUUUCUCAAUAUUUUGAUAUUUUUGCACCCUCAGAUUCCAGAUUUUUAAAUAGUUGUAUCUCGGCCAAAUAUUGUCCUAACAAACCAUACAUCAAUGGAAAGCUUAUUUAUUCAGCUUUCAGAUGAUGUAUACAUUUCAAUUUCAAAAAAUUUACCCUUAUGACUGUUUUUUUGGUCCAAGGUCACAUAUGACCAUAACUGUACAUCAACUGCACAGUUUGGUACAGGGCCUAUGUCUGGUCUUCAGUGCAGAGUAAAAUGUUUUUAUUUGUUUUUAGGGGCACAGUAACCGUGCAUAAAUUCUAUGAACUUUGAUUCAAAUUUAUAUUUCAGAAAUGCUGUUUUAUUCUAACUACAGUAUCUAUUCAUUGAGAGUUGAAAACAGUUGUAUGGCACUGUAAAAUUUUAAUAAUGUUUCAAUUUUGAUCAUACUAAUGCAGCUGUGGUGAGCAUAAGGAACCUCUUAAAAAAAAAAAUCUUACUGACCCCAGCCAUCAAAGCAUUCAUGCACUUUAAUUACAGGUAAUA
ensembl:lncRNA